rnacentral:rRNA from 1 species
AGAGUUUGAUCCUGGCUCAGGACGAACGCUGGCGGCGUGCUUAACACAUGCAAGUCGAACGGAAAGGCCCUGCUUUUGUGGGGUGCUCGAGUGGCGAACGGGUGAGUAACACGUGAGUAACCUGCCCUUGACUUUGGGAUAACUUCAGGAAACUGGGGCUAAUACCGGAUAGGAGCUCCUGCUGCAUGGUGGGGGUUGGAAAGUUUCGGCGGUUGGGGAUGGACUCGCGGCUUAUCAGCUUGUUGGUGGGGUAGUGGCUUACCAAGGCUUUGACGGGUAGCCGGCCUGAGAGGGUGACCGGCCACAUUGGGACUGAGAUACGGCCCAGACUCCUACGGGAGGCAGCAGUGGGGAAUAUUGCACAAUGGGCGGAAGCCUGAUGCAGCAACGCCGCGUGCGGGAUGACGGCCUUCGGGUUGUAAACCGCUUUCGCCUGUGACGAAGCGUGAGUGACGGUAAUGGGUAAAGAAGCACCGGCUAACUACGUGCCAGCAGCCGCGGUGAUACGUAGGGUGCGAGCGUUGUCCGGAUUUAUUGGGCGUAAAGGGCUCGUAGGUGGUUGAUCGCGUCGGAAGUGUAAUCUUGGGGCUUAACCCUGAGCGUGCUUUCGAUACGGGUUGACUUGAGGAAGGUAGGGGAGAAUGGAAUUCCUGGUGGAGCGGUGGAAUGCGCAGAUAUCAGGAGGAACACCAGUGGCGAAGGCGGUUCUCUGGGCCUUUCCUGACGCUGAGGAGCGAAAGCGUGGGGAGCGAACAGGCUUAGAUACCCUGGUAGUCCACGCUGUAAACGGUGGGUACUAGGUGUGGGGUCCAUUCCACGGGUUCCGUGCCGUAGCUAACGCUUUAAGUACCCCGCCUGGGGAGUACGGCCGCAAGGCUAAAACUCAAAGGAAU